GAUGAACGCUGGCGGCGUGCCUUAUACAUGCAAGUCGAGUGGGUUUAGACCCACGGCAAACGGGUGAGUAACACGUAGGUACUUUCCUUGUCACAGGAAUAACCCUCCGAAAGGAGGGCUAAUACCUGAUGUGAUCGCAAGAUUAAAGGGUAUCCGCAAGGAUUACCGGACAAGAAGAGGCCUGCGGCCUAUCAGCUAGUUGGCGGGGUAAAUGCCCACCAAGGCUAUGACGGGUAGCUGGUCUUAUGAGGAUGAUCAGUCACAUGGGCACUGAGACACGGGCCCAACUUCUACGGGAGGCAGCAGUAGGGAAUUUUGCGCAAUGGGCGAAAGCCUGACGCAGCGACGCCGCGUGCGGGAUGAAGGCCUUCGGGUCGUAAACCGCUUUUAUAAGGGACGAACUUUGACGGUACCUUAUGAAUAAGAGGUUGCUAACUCUGUG
rnacentral:rRNA from 1 species